rnacentral:lncRNA from 1 species
AGAUUAUCGGGUUUUCUACACAUUGAUAUCGUAAAAUAUCAGCCGCGAGCCACAAUGUGAACCUUUUUGGCGAGUGAGCGUAGCGAACGAGCUAAAAAGUUUCACAUUGUGUCGAGCGGCUGAUAUUUUACGAUAUCUAUACGUAGAAAACCCGAUUAUCUGUUUAUCGUUCUAUUAAUGGUCUUUUUUCCUCUCCCUAAGACAGUUUUACGCUUGACGAAAGCAAGCUUGAUAACGUCUCCUCUCGCAUUGUGACGUCGCUGAUAACUUCUCCACUCACAUUGUGACGUCGCUGAUAAUGCCUGGUCUCGUUUUGAAGUCUUGAUACGAGAAUUACUGAGCGACAGAGCAGGGUGAUAUAGGCGUAGGGAAGGACGAUAAACU